UGCGUAGGUGGCCAAUUAAGUCAAAUGUGAAAUCCCCGAGCUUAACUUGGGAAUUGCAUUCGAUACUGGUUGGCUAGAGUAUGGGAGAGGAUGGUAGAAUUCCAGGUGUAGCGGUGAAAUGCGUAGAGAUCUGGAGGAAUACCGAUGGCGAAGGCAGCCAUCUGGCCUAAUACUGACACUGAGGUACGAAAGCAUGGGGAGCAAACAGGAUUAGAUACCCUGGUAGUCCAUGCCGUAAACGAUGUCUACUAGCCGUUGGGGUCUUUGAGACUUUAGUGGCGCAGCUAACGCGAUAAGUAGACCGCCUGGGGAGUACGGUCGCAAGACUAAA
rnacentral:rRNA from 1 species